rnacentral:misc_RNA from 1 species
GGAAGAAAAAGUCGUAACAAGGUUUCCGUAGGUGAACCUGCGGAAGGAUCAUUACAGAGUUCAUGCCCUCACGGGUAGAUCUCCCACCCUUGAAUAUUUAUACCUUAGUUGCUUUGGCAGGCCGUGGAAACACCAUGGGCUCCGGCUUAUGCGUGCCUGCCAGAGGAAACAAACUCUGUUUUUAGUGAUGUCUGAGUACUAUAUAAUAGUUAAAACUUUCAACAACGGAUCUCUUGGUUCUG